rnacentral:tRNA from 1 species
GCGAGGGUGGCGGAACUGGUAGACGCGCUGGAUUUAGGUUCCAGUGUCUUACGGCGUGGGGUUCGACUCCCCCUCUCGUACCA